rnacentral:rRNA from 1 species
AAACUAACAAGGAUUCCCCUAGUAGCGGCGAGCGAAGCGGGAAGAGCUCAAAUUUAUAAUCUGGCACCUUCGGUGUCCGAGUUGUAAUCUCUAGAAAUGUUUUCCGCGUUGGACCGCACACAAGUCUGUUGGAAUACAGCGGCAUAGUGGUGAGACCCCCGUAUAUGGUGCGGACGCCCAGCGCUUUGUGAUACAUUUUCGAAGAGUCGAGUUGUUUGGGAAUGCAGCUCAAAUUGGGUGGUAAAUUCCAUCUAAAGCUAAAUAUUGGCGAGAGACCGAUAGCGAACAAGUACCGUGAGGGAAAGAUGAAAAGCACUUUGGAAAGAGAGUUAACAGUACGUGAAAUUGUUGGAAGGGAAACGCUUGAAGUCAGACUUGCUUGCUGAGCAAUCGGUUUGCAGGCCAGCAUCAGUUUUCCGGGAUGGAUAAUGGUAGAGAGAAGGUAGCAGUUUCGGCUGUGUUAUAGCUCUCUGCUGGAUACAUCUUGGGGGACUGAGGAACGCAGUGUGCCUUUGGCGGGGGUUUCGACCUCUUCACACUUAGGAUGCUGGUGGAAUGGCUUUAAACGACCCGUCUUGAAACACGAGACCA